rnacentral:rRNA from 1 species
AGUGAACGCUGGCGGUAGGCCUAACACAUGCAAGUCGAACGGCAGCACAGUAAGAGCUUGCUCUUACGGGUGGCGAGUGGCGGACGGGUGAGGAAUACAUCGGAAUCUACUUUUUCGUGGGGGAUAACGUAGGGAAACUUACGCUAAUACGCCAUACGACCUACGGGUGAAAGCAGGGGAUCUUCGGACCUUGCGCGAUUGAAGGAGCCGAUGUCGGAUUAGCUAGUUGGCGGGGUAAAGGCCCACCAAGGCGACGAUCCGUAGCUGGUCUGAGAGGAUGAUCAGCCACACUGGAACUGAGACACGGUCCAGACUCCUACGGGAGGCAGCAGUGGGGAAUAUUGGACAAUGGGCGCAAGCCUGAUCCAGCCAUACCGCGUGGGUGAAGAAGGCCUUCGGGUUGUAAAGCCCUUUUGUUGGGAAAGAAAAGCAGCAGGUUAAUACCCCGCUGUUCUGACGGUACCCAAAGAAUAAGCACCGGCUAACUUCGUG